GAGUGUGUGAUGUGUUUUUUUGGGGAUGGGAACGUAGAUACAUGUGACUUGAGCUGCGAGGUCACAUACAUGUCAGAUAUUGGCUUUUCCAUCGUCGUCUCGUCGCCAGAAGCUGGAGCCUCACAAAGCGUCGGUCGCCAAAAGCUGCAGUCGGUGACGGCAUCGCCACAGUUCUCAAAAAGGCAUCACCGACAUGAGGCAAGGAGACGCAAGCGCUUCUCCAGUGACGGCAGGGGCGACGUGUCAGUCACAUUUAAGAGCGCGUUUUAUUCCUUGGACAGUAAACAGAUCCCAAGAUGCCCAGCUACAUGAAAUCCUUCGAGCGCCUGUACCCUUUGAGAAUAAAACCCCAGUCCAUCUUCCGAACAGGAGCUUUUAUUCCACACAACAGAAAAGCAGCAGGUUAACGUCCCGGCUCUCUCCGGCCCUGAGGUGGACCAGAACAAGGAGAGCUUUAGGGAGAGGAUUAGGGAGAGCGAGUGCGGACAGCACGGACCUGGAGAAACCCCAAGCAAAAAAAAGGGACGAUUUCGACUCUCAUGUUUCGCGAAGCAGCUGUUUCGUUUAUUACAUAUUUCUUUCUAAUAGUUGGCCUUAUUUGAGAAAUAAAACGUGAAAGUGCACAUA